GGAAGGACUAUGGUCGUUAUAAGAAGGACGCUGAUUCUGUUCCUGUUGGUGGCGGUUCUGAAUGGGGAGAAGAAAAUCCAGAAAAACUGUUUUCAAAAGAACACAAAUCAGCCAGACAAUAAGAUUAAUAUCAUAAAAACUCCAAAAAUCAACGACGAUUUAUUUGAUAACCUCUGUGCAUGUCUGGAGAAACACCCUGGAGAGGCAAGCUUUAUGAAAUGUCCUCCUGAUACUCCUUUUAUCAAGGAAGUCUCUUUCAUCAGGUGCGGAGAGAAGUCUAUACCUAUUGGCAUUGACUGUAUGGGACUGUAGAUUUUCUAAUUUUUAUAAUUACUUCUGUGAUUUUUUGUAAAAUUGUAUGUUAGCCCUUUAAGCUCUGAUACAACUAUGCUAUUUUAUAUUGAAUGUUGAAAUAAGUUUCAUUUACGUAA